UACGUAGGGUGCGAGCGUUGUCCGGAAUUAUUGGGCGUAAAGAGCUCGUAGGCGGUGUGUCACGUCGGCCGUGAAAACCUGCAGCUUAACUGUGGGCGUGCGGUCGAUACGGGCAUGACUGGAGUUCGGCAGGGGAGACUGGAAUUCCUGGUGUAGCGGUGAAAUGCGCAGAUAUCAGGAGGAACACCGGUGGCGAAGGCGGGUCUCUGGGCCGAUACUGACGCUGAGGAGCGAAAGCGUGGGGAGCGAACAGG
rnacentral:rRNA from 1 species